rnacentral:rRNA from 1 species
GCCGCGGUAACUCCAGCUCCAAUAGCGUAUAUUAAAGUUGUUGCGGUUAAAAAGCUCGUAGUUGGAUUUCAGUUUUCGGCCGGGCUCCUUCCCGUUCAAAUACGGGCGGUGAAGGGGCCUUUGGAUCGUUGGUGUCAAAGCCGCGGUCUUUUAACGGUCGGACUAUACCACCGGAGCGGGAUUGGUGGUGACUGUGCUUCGCCUCACGGCGUCGUGCUGUUCACGGUCGCCCGCAUUUUACUGACUGGGGUGCCUUUAACCGGGUGUCCCAGCCAGCCGGUUACGUUUACUUUGAACAAAUUAGAGUGCUCAAAGCAGGUGCAUUUUCGCCUGAAUAUCACAGCAUGGAAUGAUGGAAUAGGACCUCGGUCUUAUUUUGUUGGUUUUUCUAGACCCGAGGUAAUGGUUAAUAGA